AAAGAUACCGGGUAGUCCACGCCGUAAACGAUGAGUGCUAAGUGUUAGGGGGUUUCCGCCCCUUAGUGCUGCAGCUAACGCAUUAAGCACUCCGCCUGGGGAGUACGGUCGCAAGACUGAAACUCAAAGGAAUUGACGGGGGCCCGCACAAGCGGUGGAGCAUGUGGUUUAAUUCGAAGCAACGCGAAGAACCUUACCAGGUCUUGACAUCCCAUUGACCGCUAUGGAGACAUAGCUUUCCCUUCGGGGACAGUGGUGACAGGUGGUGCAUGGUUGUCGUCAGCUCGUGUCGUGAGAUGUUGGGUUAAGUCCCGCAACGAGCGCAACCCUUGUUCUUAGUUGCCAUCAUUUAGUUGGGCACUCUAAGGAGACUGCCGGUGACAAACCGGAGGAAGGUGGGGAUGACGUCAAAUCAUCAUGCCCCUUAUGACCUGGGCUACACACGUGCUACAAUGGACGGUACAAACGGUUGCCAACCCGCGAGGGGAGCUAAUCCGAUAAAACCGUUCUCAGUUCGGAUUGUAGGCUGCAACUCGCCUACA
rnacentral:rRNA from 1 species